GGGCCCGCACAAGCGGUGGAGCAUGUGGUUUAAUUCGAAGCAACGCGAAGAACCUUACCAGGUCUUGACAUCCCUCUGACCGUCCUAGAGAUAGGACUUCCCUUCGGGGGCAAGGUGACAGGUGGUGCAUGGUUGUCGUCAGCUCGUGUCGUGAGAUGUUGGGUUAAGUCCCGCAACGAGCGCAACCCUUAUUGUUAGUUGCCAUCAUUUAGUUGGGCACUCUAGCAAGACUGCCGGUGAUAAACUGGAGGAAGGUGGGG
rnacentral:rRNA from 1 species